rnacentral:rRNA from 1 species
GAACGGGUGAGUAACACGUGGGCAAUCUGCCCUUCACUCUGGGACAAGCCCUGGAAACGGGGUCUAAUACCGGAUAACACCUGCCCGGGCAUCUGGGUGGGUUAAAAGCUCCGGCGGUGAAGGAUGAGCCCGCGGCCUAUCAGCUUGUUGGUGAGGUAGUGGCUCACCAAGGCGACGACGGGUAGCCGGCCUGAGAGGGCGACCGGCCACACUGGGACUGAGACACGGCCCAGACUCCUACGGGAGGCAGCAGUGGGGAAUAUUGCACAAUGGGCGAAAGCCUGAUGCAGCGACGCCGCGUGAGGGAUGACGGCCUUCGGGUUGUAAACCUCUUUCAGCAGGGAAGAAGCGAAAGUGACGGUACCUGCAGAAGAAGCGCCGGCUAACUACGUGCCAGCAGCCGCGGUAAUACGUAGGGCGCAAGCGUUGUCCGGAAUUAUUGGGCGUAAAGAGCUCGUAGGCGGCUUGUCACGUCNGGUGUGAAAGCCCGGGGCUUAACCCCGGGUCUGCAUUCGAUACGGGCUAGCUAGAGUGUGGUAGGGGAGAUCGGAAUUCCUGGUGUAGCGGUGAAAUGCGCAGAUAUCAGGAGGAACACCGGUGGCGAAGGCGGAUCUCUGGGCCAUUACUGACGCUGAGGAGCGAAA